GCAUAUUAUUUUGACCACUUUUCAAAUCAUCAUCGAAAAACUUUCUUUUUUACUGAUAGUUCGUUACAUGACAGUUCAGCAAAGAUGACAGGCAGCUACCAUAUCCUGCUUGAGCUGAGUGGCAACAGAGUGAGACCCAACCAUGCUCACGGUACUGAUGGCAAAUUUCAAACUUCACCCACAGUCAACCAGUAUUGAACAACGAAUCAUUACACUGUAUUCAAGUAUUAAAUUAUACGCAAUUUUGUAUAAUAAUAUUUUAAUUAAAAUGAUAAAAUCAUCUGGAA